rnacentral:rRNA from 1 species
AGAGAGAGACAUGCGCGCAUAUCAAUAAGCGGAGGAAAAGAAACUAACUAGGAUUCCCUCAGUAACGGCGAGUGAAGCGGGAAGAGCUCAAAUUUGAAAUCUUCAAGGUUCUACCUUGACGAAUUGUAGUUUAAAGAAGUGUUUUCUGUUGGAGUUUUGGUAAAAGUUCUUUGGAAUAGGACAUCAUAGAGGGUGAGAAUCCCGUAUUUGACCAUUAUUUCCAGCUUUGUGAUACACUUUCAAAGAGUCGGAUUGUUUGGGAAUGCAGUCCAAAAUGGGUGGUAAAUUUCAUCUAAAGCUAAAUAUUGGCGAGAGACCGAUAGCGAACAAGUACCGUGAGGGAAAGAUGAAAAGAACUUUGAAAAGAGAGUUAAACAGUACGUGAAAUUGUCAAAAGGGAAGCGUUUGACACCAGUGUUGUUUUCUCGAAAAUCGAUUAAAAAGAGUUAGGAUUUUGUUGUUGUAUUGACUCUUUAUCAGCUUCUGCAUUUCAUUUUCUUGUCUUUUUUAAUGCACUUUUCGUUUAACAAGUCAACAUCAAUUUCUUUUGUUGUAAAAAGGGUCAUUGGAAGGUGGCUUUCUUUUCGGAGAAAGUGUUUAUAGCCUUUGGCCUCUGCAAUCGGAGAGAUUGAGGUCUGCAGCGUAGAUCCUUCGGGGUUAGAUACAUUUGUGCUUAAGUUAUAGCCUUUCAUAGACAACUUGUUGACUAUGAUCAGUCAUGUAGCUUACUCGCUUAUGCUAUUUUACCUACGCUUAGGAUGUUGAUGUGAUACUGCGAGC